GGUGUUGUGGCUCAGUGGUAGAGCACUCUCCAAGCACAUGUGAGGCACUGGGUUCAAUCCUCAGCACCACAU
rnacentral:tRNA from 1 species